CCUAACACAUGCAAGUCGAACGGGAAGCGGUGCAUAUUGCUUCGGUGAUAAUGUGCCGUGGAGAGUGGCGAACGGGUGCGUAACACGUAGGUAACCUGCCCUGAAAGGGGGGAUAACCACGGGAAACUGUGGCUAAUACCGUAUAAUCUCGCCGUGGCGGUGGUUACGGUGAGGAAAGCUGAGGCGAUUUGGGAGGGGCCUGCGGUCGAUUAGCUGGUUGGUGGGGUAAAGGCCCACCAAGGCGAUGAUCGAUAGCUGUUCUGAGAGGAAGACCAGCCACACGGGAACUUAGACACGGUCCAGACUCCUACGGGAGGCAGCAGUGGGGAAUAUUGCACAAUGGGCGCAAGCCUGAUGCAGCCAUGCCGCGUGUAUGAAGAAGGCCUUCGGGUUGUAAAGUACUUUCAGCGGGGAGGAAGGGAGUAAAGUUAAUACCUUUGCUCAUUGACGUUACCCGCAGAAGAAGCACCGGCUAACUCCGUGC
rnacentral:rRNA from 1 species